rnacentral:rRNA from 1 species
AUUGAACGCUGGCGGCAGGCCUAACACAUGCAAGUCGAGCGAGCGGCGGCCGGGUGCGUAAUGCCUGUGAAUUGCCCCGUCGCGGGGGAUACCAGUUAGAAACGACUGCUAAUCCCGCAUACGAUUGUCUUGCCCAGGUGGGAUUAGCUCGUUGGUGAGGUAAUGGCUCACCAAGGCGACGAUCCCUCGCUGGUCUGAGAGGAUGAUCAGCCACACUGGAACGGAGACACGGUCCAGACUCCUACGGGAGGCAGCAGUGGGGAAUAUUGCACAAUGGGGGAAACCCUGAUGCAGCCAUGCCGCGUGUGUGAAGAAGGCCUUCGGGUUGUAAAGCACUUUCAGCGAGGAGGCGGUACUCGAAGAAGAAGCACCGGCUAACUCCGUGCCAGCAGCCGCGGUAAUAA